rnacentral:rRNA from 1 species
GAUGAACGCUGGCGGCGUGCCUAAUACAUGCAAGUCGAGCGAACAGACGAGGAGCUUGCUCCUCUGACGUUAGCGGCGGACGGGUGAGUAACACGUGGAUAACCUACCUAUAAGACUGGGGUAACUUCGGGAAACCGGAGCUAAUACCGGAUAAUAUAUUGAACCGCAUGGUUCAAUAGUGAAAGACGGUUUUGCUGUCACUUAUAGAUGUAUCCGCGCCGCAUUAGCUAGUUGGUAAGGUAACGGCUUACCAAGGCAACGAUGCGUAGCCGACCUGAGAGGGUGAUCGGCCACACUGGAACUGAGACACGGUCCAGACUCCUACGGGAGGCAGCAGUAGGGAAUCUUCCGAAAUGGGCGAAAGCCUGACGGAGCAACGCCGCGUGAGUGACGAAGGUCUUCGGAUCGUAAAACUCUGUUAUUAGGGAAGAACAAAUGUGUAAGUAACUAUGCACGUCUUGACGGUACCUAAUCAGAAAGCCACGGCUAACUACGUG